CCGGCGACCGGCGGACGGGUGCGUAACGCGUAUGUAACCUACCUUUGACAGGGGGAUAACAUCGAGAAAUUGGUACUAAUACCCCAUAACAUCACCGGAGGCAUCUUCGGUGGUUGAAAACUCAGGUGGUCAGAGAUGGACAUGCGUUGUAUUAGCUAGUUGGUGAGGUAACGGCUCACCAAGGCGACGAUACAUAGGGGGACUGAGAGGAAGGUCCCCCACACUGGUACUGAGACACGGACCAGACUCCUACGGAAGGCAGCAG
rnacentral:rRNA from 1 species